rnacentral:rRNA from 1 species
UACGGAGGGAGCAAGCGUUGUCCGGAUUUACUGGGCGUAAAGGGCGCGUAGGCGGCUUGUUAAGUGUGGUGUGAAAUCUCCAGGGCUCAACCCGGAAACCGCACCGCAUACUGGCAAGCUAGAGGAAUGUAGAGGUAGAUAGAAUUCCCGGUGUAACGGUGACAUGUGUAGAUAUCGGGAGGAAUACCAAUGGCGAAGGCAGUCUACUGGACAUUUCCUGACGCUGAGGCGCGAAAGCGUGGGUAGCAAA